GAUGAACGCUAGCUACAGGCUUAACACAUGCAAGUCGAGGGGCAGCAUGGUCUUAGCUUGCUAAGGCCGAUGGCGACCGGCGCACGGGUGAGUAACACGUAUCCAACCUGCCGUCUACUCUUGGACAGCCUUCUGAAAGGAAGAUUAAUACAAGAUGGCAUCAUGAGUCCGCAUGUUCACAUGAUUAAAGAUUUAUUGGUAAACGAUGGGGAUGCGUUCCAUUAGGUAGUAGGCGGGGUAACGGCCCACCUAGCCGACGAUGGAUAGGGGUUCUGAGAGGAAGGUCCCCCACAUUGGAACUGAGACACGGUCCAAACUCCUACGGGAGGCAGCAGUGAGGAAUAUUGGUCAAUGGGCGAGAGCCUGAACCAGCCAAGUAGCGUGAAGGAUGAAGGUCCUACGGAUUGUAAACUUCUUUUAUACGGGAAUAAAGUAUCCUACGUGUAGGAUUUUGAUUGUACGUAUGAAUAAGCAUCGGCUAACUCCGUGCCAG
rnacentral:rRNA from 1 species